rnacentral:tRNA from 1 species
UAUGGCUUUGUGGUAGAGUGCUUGCCUUCCAUGCAUGAAGCCCUGGGUUCAAUUCCUCAGUA